GGCCUGAUGGUCUAGUAGUAUGAUUCUCCCUUCGGGCGUUUGCUCGUGGCCUUAUGGCUGCUUAAUUGGGAGAGGUCCCGGGUUCAAUUCCCGGUCAGGCCC
rnacentral:tRNA from 1 species